rnacentral:rRNA from 1 species
CCUACGGGUGGCAGCAGUGAGGAAUAUUGGUCAAUGGACUCAAGUCUGAACCAGCCAUGCCGCGUGCGGGAAGACGGCUCUAUGAGUUGUAAACUGCUUUUGUACGAGGGUAAACCCAGAUACGCGUAUCUGUCUGAAAGGAACGUACGAAUAAGGAUCGGCUAACUCCGUGCCAGCAGCCGCGGUAAUACGGAGGGUUCAAGCGUUAUGCGGCUUUAUUGGGUUUAAAGGGUGGGUAGGCGGUCGGAUAAGUUAGAGGUGAAAUCCCGGGGCUCAACUUUGGAAUUGCCGCUGAAACUGUUGGGCUAGAGAGUAGGUGCGGUAGGCGGAAUGUAUGGUGUAGCGGUGAAAUGCUUAGAGAUCACACAGAACACCGAUUGCGAAGGCAGCUUACCAGGCUACAUCUGACGUUGAGGCACGAAAGCGUGGGGAGCAAACAGGAUUAGAUACCCCUGUAGUC